GAAAUUUGGAUUAAUACCGCAUAGUAUACAGAUUCAGCAUUGGGACUGUAUUAAACAUUUAUGGGUAAGAGAUGGGCAUGCGUUCUAUUAGUUAGUUGGAGUGGUAACGGNACCCCAAGACAGCGAUAGAUAGGGGCCCUGANAGGGGGAUCCCCCACACUGGUACUGAGACACGGACCAGACUCCUACGGGAGGCAGCAGUGAGGAAUAUUGGACCAAUGGGCGAGAGCCUGAUCCAGCCAUGCCGCGUGCAGGAAGACGGCCCUAUGGGUUGUAAACUGCUUUGUACGGGAAGAAACACCCCCUCGUGAGGGGGCUUGACGGUACCGUAAGAAUAAGGAUCGGCUAACUCCGUG
rnacentral:rRNA from 1 species